AGACUCCCAGUCUCUUCAGGACCUGGUUACCACGGCUGAGUCCUUGUGAGGAUUAACUCAGACACUGGGUGUGCUUGGCACACACACUCCUGAGGUACCACAGGCUCCACACGGGUCUCAGGAUCAACUGACCUCUCUGUAGACGACCAUGGCUGGUCGCUGUGUCAAGCUCAAGGGCCUGGCUCCUUCUCUGCUCUUGAACGACCCUGAGAGGCACAACUUGUGCCGUUGGGGUCAGAGGUCAGGAGGAACCAGAGAGUGCAGACUGCUCAGGGUCAACAGGAAUGCUCUGCUUGUGAUGGUGGCGCCUGGAACCAGGCUGAUGGAAGCUCCAUUCAGCAUGUGCCCUUGGAAGAAGAAAGCGGAGAGACCAGCACGAGCAGUCAAAUGUUUCCACCUGGAAAUGACGCACACGACUUUGGCUCACAUUUCAUUGGUGAGAUUUGUCAUGCAGUACAAGGGAGUGGAUUUCCUGAGGAACUCGUGAAGUCCCAUCUCCUUCCCUCCUCAUGCGACUGAAUCUUGCCAACUGGAGUGGAGGGAAGUCAGACAGACAGCGUUUCAAGUGCCUUAUCCACUCCUCAUAUGCUCUCUUUGAAGUUUUUCUUUCACUCAUCAGUGGUAGGAUAUAAAACGUGGAGAGCAAGGGCUAUGUGUGGAUACAGUGAGAAGGCAGCCGUCUAUCUCCAAGCCAUGAAGAGAGGCCUCACCAGAAACUAAACCUACUGGCAUCUUGAUCUUGGACUUCAAGCCUCCAGAACUCGCUGGUGUAGAACACAGGUCUGGCUUCUCAACUCAGUGUUCUUUCUACACACUACUUUGAAAUGGAGAAUGUCAAAAGUCACACAAUCCAGGAAAUUGUGAAUGAUCCUGUUGUAAAGAAGACUCUGGUUACCAAGAAUUCUUCAUGCAUGGAGACAAGUAUUUCUUUGGAGAAGGAUACACGGCUAGUCGUGUGGCCUGAGCACAUCACUGGGCUCCUGCAGUCUUUUCUGAAGUCUGGUGUGGGACUUCAGAGGAGACUUCAGGAGAGUUGAGCUUCACCAUUAAAUACUGAUCUUUACAGCAGUUUCAUUAACUUCUGUAGAGAUAAAUUACAUCCUUAUUUACUUGGCAAUCUUAGAACGUUGGGUAAUUAGAGUCUACCUUACUUUACCUUCUGCCAUGUCUGUGAUUUUAUAGGAUGGUGUUGGGGCUAAAUAAAAAUGAAUGGACAAAC
rnacentral:lncRNA from 1 species